CAAUCCAAGCCGCAAGCGACGUGUAGGGUAUUGUUUGCUUUCGUCGCCGCACGUGGUUUUGAAUUGAGUGUUCAUGUUGUGUGGUGUCCUGUAUUUCACACGUUUCAUUCACACAAUUUUCUAUUUGCGUAACUACGUGCAACAUGCACAUUUUGGUGAAGUGGCCAGGCGUGAAUAUGCUGGACGUUUAUCCCGUCGACAGCCUGCAAGAUAUCGAAUUAGGUUUAAGUAUUUCGUAUGUCCCGGCCGUCCCGGCAAACGUGGACAUCGCUAAGGGGAAGACAUUCCUCAUACGGUGCAGCAAGAAUGCAGAGCCCUCUGAAGCCUUCUUCGUUGCUGCGGGCCUCAGGGUGCACACUGUACACAUUGUGCAGAGCACAACCGGAAAAUAGAGGAGCUUGAGCAUGCAAAUGCCCGCCUGACAAAGAAGCUUCGCAAAGCCAAAGAGAAGUGUGCAGGUAAUUAUUUUCAGUCAUGACCAACAUGGUGGAUCAGAUGGAAAAUCUAAUCCAGACUGCCUCCAGCCAGAACGCUGCUGCUGUUACAGCAGCUCCAAUGCUGGACAUCGGCUUAGGUGUUUGCGUGGACGCUGGUGUUCUGCACAGAAUAGAGAGAAGCAGCAAAGGGGAUAGGAC